AGGGCGCACGGCGGAUGCCUUGGCACAGGAAGUCGAAGAAGGACGCGGCAAGCUGCGAUAAGCUCCGGGGAGGCGCAAACGGCCUUCGAUCCGGAGAUCUCCGAAUGGGGGAACCCAGCAGGGGUCAUGCCCUGCUACCCGCGCCUGAAUGAAAUAGGGCGCGAGGAGGCAACCCGGGGAACUGAAACAUCUAAGUACCCGGAGGAAGAGAAAUCAACCGAGAUUGCGGGAGUAGCGGCGAGCGAAACCGCACCAGCCCAAACCCAUGCACGUGCAAGCUUGAGGGCGUUGCUGCAUGAGGGGUUGUGGGACCGCGCAUUCCAUGGGCCUCAGACCAUGGACGCAGUUACAAAUCCGCGCGGAAGCGGAACGGCCUGGGAAGGCCGGCGGAACAGGGUGAGAGCCCCGUACGCGAAUCCGCGCGGACUGCGAGUGCGGCACCCGAGUAGCGCCGGGCACGUGAAACCCGGUGCGAACCUGGGGGGACCACCCUCCAAGGCUGAACACUCUCCUGUGACCGAUAGCGAACCAGUACCGUGAGGGAAAGGUGAAAAGCACCCCGAGAGGGGAGUGAAACAGUACCUGAAACCGUGCGCCUACAAGCAGUCGGAGCCCCCGAGCGGGGUGACGGCGUGCCUUUUGUAGAAUGAGCCAGCGAGUUGCGGUAUGCGGCGAGGUUAAGGUUUGAACCGAGCCGCAGUGAAAGCGAGCCUUUAAGAUGGCGAUAGAGUCGCAUGCUGCAGACGCGAAGCCGGGUGAGCUAUCCAUGGGCAGGCUGAAGCGGGGGUAAGACCCCGUGGAGGGCCGAACCCACUUCGGUUGAAAACGGAGGGGAUGACCCGUGGAUAGGGGUGAAAGGCCAAUCAAACCCGGAGAUAUCUCGUUCUCCCCGAAAUAGCUUUAGGGCUAGCCUCGGCCGUUCUCCGACGGCGGUAGAGCACUGGAUCGUCGAGGGGGCUUCACCGCCUACCGACACGAACCAAACUCCGAAUGCCGCCGGAUCAGAGGCCGGGAGUCAGAACAUGUGGGCUAAGCUGUGUGUUCGAGAGGGAAACAGCCCAGACCGCCCGCUAAGGUCCCCAAGUUUAUGCUGAGUGGCAAAGGAUGUGCGUUUGCCUAGACAACCAGGAUGUUGGCUUAGAAGCAGCCAUGCAUUUAAAGAGUGCGUAACAGCUCACUGGUCAAGUGGACAUGCGCCGACAAUUCACGGGGCUAAGCAUAACACCGAAGCGGCGGACUAAUCUAUAUUAGUGGUAGGGGAGCUUUCCCCGCAGCGGAGAAGCCGAGAGGGCGACCCUCGGUGGAGCGCGGGGAAGUGAGAAUGCUGGCAUGAGUAACGAGAGCGGCGCGAGAAACGCCGCCGCCGUAAGCCUAAGGGUUCCUGGGCAAGGCUAAUCCUCCCAGGGUCAGUCGGGAGCUAAGGCGAGGCCGAGAGGCGUAGCCGAUGCGCAACAGGCGGACAUUCCUGUACCGCCUGCGGACCGCUAUCACCGACGGGGUGACGGAGAAGGGUAGCCGAGCGGGGUUCUGGACGUCCCCGUGAAAGCGCGUAGGGAGCAUCGCAUGGAAAUCAGCGGCGCAUAUAUCCUGAGACGCGAGACGAAAGCUUAUGCUGAAGUCGGCGAGCCCAUGCUUCCGAGAAAAACCUCUAGGAAGGGACGCAGGCGCCCGUACCAAAACCGACACAGGUGGGCAGGUAGAGCAUACCGAGGCGAUCGGGAGAACCAUGGUUAAGGAACUCGGCAUACUGACUCCGUAACUUCGGGAGAAGGAGUGCCCCUGGCGGUGGAGGGACUAGCUCCCCGAGCGGCCGGGGGUCGCAGCGAAACGGCCCAAGCGACUGUUUAUCAAAAACACAGGACUCUGCAAAGCCGUAAGGCGACGUAUAGGGUCUGACGCCUGCCCGGUGCUGGAAGGUUACGCGGAUGGGUCAGCCGAAAGGCGAAGCUCUGAAGCCAAGCCCCAGUAAACGGCGGCCGUAACUAUAACGGUCCUAAGGUAGCGAAAUUCCUUGUCGGGUAAGUUCCGACCUGCACGAAUGGCGUAACGAUUUGGGCGCUGUCUCAACCAUGGACCCGGUGAAAUUGUAUUAUUCGUGAAGAUGCGAAUUACCUGCGGAAGGACGGAAAGACCCCGUGAACCUUUACUGCAGCUUGACAUUGAUCGUUGGCUCGGCGCGUAGAGGAUAGGCAGGAGGCUGCGAAGCCCGGGCGCCAGCCCGGGCGGAG
rnacentral:rRNA from 1 species